rnacentral:rRNA from 1 species
UACGUAGGGUGCGAGCGUUAAUCGGAAUUACUGGGCGUAAAGCGUGCGCAGGCGGUUCGUUGUGUCGGCGGUGAAAGCCCCGGGCUUAACCUGGGAACGGCCGUUGAAACUGGCGAACUGGAGUGUGGCAGAGGGGGGUGGAAUUCCGCGUGUAGCAGUGAAAUUCGUAGAUAUUGGGAAGAACACCGAUGGCGAAGGCAGCCAUCUGGACCGACACUGACGCUGAGGCGCGAAAGCGUGAGGAGCAAACAGG